rnacentral:pre_miRNA from 1 species
AUGUAGGACAAUCUGUCUUUAAGUGAGGAUCAAUUAGUUGAUAAAAAUGAUUCCCAGAUAGUUUUUCCUUCAAGUCAAGCACCCCAU